GCUCAGGGCCGGGCCCCGGGGGGGGGGGGCGCACUCACCUCCGGCCGCGGGAGGGGGAGGGGUCGAGUUACCAACCGCCCCUAGAGAGGCGCCAUGGCCUCCCGCUCAGCUCAAUUUCCCCGCCAGCGCCAGAUACCCAGCCCCGGGGCCUCAUUGGGUGGCCACCUUCCUCACUAAGGAAAACCCUACUUCUAUUGGGCGGUGCGAUGUUACGUUGCCGGCUGUUACUGGACACGUUGGCUGCCAGUUUAGCCAGAGGGGGACGAGAAGACUCAGGCGCUCCAUUUUUAUUGGCCGGUUUGUCUGUCAAUCAGCUGGAGGGGGGGAACUCCGCCUGUGCCCCUUUGUGACUAGAUGAUCGGCCUGUCGAUCAGAGGAAAAGCCUCACGAAGCACCUUUUGACUGGAGGAACGAACUGCCUGUCAAUCAAAAAGGGCGGGGAACGGAGCAAGUUCGAAUGUUGUUGGAGGUAGAAAAGGCGCCGGGGAGGAGAAGCUAAACCCCCACCCUAGUCCCGCCCCCAGGCCAAGAGGAGGUAGCGAUUGGCUGCUAGCCACCAACGUACGACGUUACACGGCCUAGAGAGAGCGUCUCCCAGCAUGCAGCGCGCCGCCCCGCCCCUCCCCGGAGGGGGUGGUAACUCCCAGCAUGCACUGCUCGGGCGCGGCUGGUGGCUUGUCCACAGGAAGCAGCCGAGGUCCGGGUUGGCGCCGCCUAGCAGCGCUGCGCCGCCCGAGCAGCCCCUGGGACAGCGGGGUGCUGGGCCCGUGGCUUGAGGCGGUCGUAACCCGUCCGCACCAGCCGCUCUUGGGGGGGCAGUGAAUCCGGCCGCCGCCCCCUCACGGCCCCGGGGGGGGGAGGAGGGGGCGUGGUGGUAGGGAAGGGUUAACGCGUUUGUCCCCGGGGCUCAGUGGCGUGGAGCUGCUCGCGCGUGGCCCAACUGCCGGGCCCGGUCUCUGCGCCUGAGCAGCGGGAGCCAGGUCCCGCGCUAGCUGGGCCGUACGUUGAUCGCCCCUGUUUCCCAGCGGGGGCCGCUGUGCUGGUGACGAUGAUGAAGGGGGUUUGCUGUGUUUGUUUCAAUCAGACGUUAAAAAUGUCACGUGUUCUAAACUCCCCUCAAUUGUUACCACUUGGGGUUGAUCCCUUACUUUCUAAAGCGGUGUGAGACCUAUGGAUAUAAAGCCGCUCAACAGAACAGAAGGUUAUUGGAGAAAAUUAAAACUGACUGCUUUAUACUGUGCAGAAGCAACAAAAGAGGAACAAGCAUGUACAGCAGAGACAGACCCACAUGAACAAGUGAUUGGAAGAGGCUGCA